GUGAACGCUGGCGGUAGGCCUAACACAUGCCAGUCGAACGGCAGCACCGUAAGAGCUUGCUCUUACGGGUGGCGAGUGGCGGACGGGUGAGGAAUACAUCGGAAUCUACUUUUUCGUGGGGGAUAACGUAGGGAAACUUACGCUAAUACCGCAUACGACCUACGGGUGAAAGCAUGGGAUCUUCGGACCUUGCGCGAUUGAAUGAGCCGAUGUCGGAUUAGCUAGUUGGCGGGGUAAAGGCCCACCAAGGCGACGAUCCGUAGCUGGUCUGAGAGGAUGAUCAGCCACACUGGAACUGAGACACGGUCCAGACUCCUACGGGAGGCAGCAGUGGGGAAUAUUGGACAAUGGGCGCAAGCCUGAUCCAGCCAUACCGCGUGGGUGAAGAAGGCCUUCGGGUUGUAAAGCCCUUUUGUUGGGAAAGAAAAGCAGCAGGUUAAUACCCCGCUGUUCUGACGGUACCCAAAGAAUAAGCACCGGCUAACUUCGUG
rnacentral:rRNA from 1 species